rnacentral:tRNA from 1 species
GCGGAUAUGGCGAAAUUGGUAUACGCGCUGGUCUUAGGAGCCAGUGGAUUAUCCAUGUGGGUUCGAGUCCCGCUAUCCGCACCA